UGAGUAAUGCCUAGGAAAUUGCCCUGAUGUGGGGGAUAACCAUUGGAAACGAUGGCUAAUACCGCAUGAUGCCUACGGGCCAAAGAGGGGGACCUUCGGGCCUCUCGCGUCAGGAUAUGCCUAGGUGGGAUUAGCUAGUUGGUGAGGUAAGGGCUCACCAAGGCGACGAUCCCUAGCUGGUCUGAGAGGAUGAUCAGCCACACUGGAACUGAGACACGGUCCAGACUCCUACGGGAGGCAGCAGUGGGGAAUAUUGCACAAUGGGCGCAAGCCUGAUGCAGCCAUGCCGCGUGUGUGAAGAAGGCCUUCGGGUUGUAAAGCACUUUCAGUCGUGAGGAAGGCGGUGUAGUUAAUAGCUGCAUUAUUUGACGUUAGCGACAGAAGAAGCACCGGCUAACUCCGUGCCAGCAGCCGCGGUAAUACGGAGGGUGCGAGCGUUAAUCGGAAUUACUGGGCGUAAAGCGCAUGCAGGUGGUUUGUUAAGUCAGAUGUGAAAGCCCGGGGCUCAACCUCGGAAUUGCAUUUGAAACUGGCAGACUAGAGUACUGUAGAGGGGGGUAGAAUUUCAGGUGUAGCGGUGAAAUGCGUAGAGAUCUGAAGGAAUACCGGUGGCGAAGGCGGCCCCCUGGACAGAUACUGACACUCAGAUGCGAAAGCGUGGGGAGCAAACAGGAUUAGAUACCCUGGUAGUCCACGCCGUAAACGAUGUCUACUUGGAGGUUGUGGCCUUGAGCCGUGGCUUUCGGAGCUAACGCGUUAAGUAGACCGCCUGGGGAGUACGGUCGCAAGAUUAAAACUCAAAUGAAUUGACGGGGGCCCGCACAAGCGGUGGAGCAUGUGGUUAAAUUCGAUGCAACGCGAAGAACCUUACCUACUCUUGACAUCCAGAGAACUUUCCAGAGAUGGAUUGGUGCCUUCGGGAACUCUGAGACAGGUGCUGCAUGGCUGUCGUCAGCUCGUGUUGUGAAAUGUUGGGUUAAGUCCCGCAACGAGCGCAACCCUUAUCCUUGUUUGCCAGCGAGUAAUGUCGGGAACUCCAGGGAGACUGCCGGUGAUAAACCGGAGGAAGGUGGGGACGACGUCAAGUCAUCAUGGCCCUUACGAGUAGGGCUACACACGUGCUACAAUGGCGCAUACAGAGGGCAGCCAACUUGCGAAAGUGAGCGAAUCCCAAAAAGUGCGUCGUAGUCCGGAUUGGAGUCUGCAACUCGACUCCAUGAAGUCGGAAUCGCUAGUAAUCGUGGAUCAGAAUGCCCCGGUGAAUACGUUCCCGGGCCUUGUACACACCGCCCGUCACACCAUGGGAGUGGGCUGCAAAAGAAGU
rnacentral:rRNA from 1 species